rnacentral:misc_RNA from 1 species
GUUCACGUACAGUCAGCUUUCAGGCACGACGUAACGCCAAGCUGCAAAGCCACUGAUGGAGAAUGUACGUUUGAUUUCCAUAUAAAUUAUAUCAUGAGCAUGGUUGCGUAUAAUCGGACAUCGCUUCAAGGUUUUCCCGUUUAUUUCAAUAACGGAACACUCUUCAAAAGAACCGCAUUGCCAGAAGGAAAUUCAAGCCAUUGCUGUGAAAAUACACCUCUGUCCAAGAAAGAAAUGGAGGAGGUAUUAACGAUAGAUGGGAACUAUAAGUUUAUGUAUGCCAUCAACAACCAAUUUCCCGGACCAACGAUCGUCGUGUACGAAAACCAAAAGGUCAAAAUCCGUGUGUACAAUGACAUGGCGAAUGAAGCGGUCACGCUUCACUGGCAUGGGAUGUUCCAGUCUAAAACUCCCUGGAUGGAUGGUACAUCUAUGAUAUCCCAAUGUCCUAUACUUCCUGGACAGAUGUUUACCUACAAAUUCACUGCAAGUCCGACUGGAACCCAUUGGUACCACUCGCAUCACGGGGCAAUGAGAAGAGAGGGUUUAAAUGGUGCAUUUAUUGUUCUUCCACAGAUAAAAAAAGAAAGAACAGAUAUUCCAAAAGUCGACAAUGAUGUCCUUUUUAUGACACAAGAUUGGGUCUACAAGAAAAGUGAUGCACAAGCGGUCGCAGAACAAAACUGGUAUAUGUUACAGUUUUCAAAUAAUUUGAAUACGGCUGACUGCUUGACGUCAAAGUUUACAUAUGAUAGUUCUCUCUCGACACUCGCCAGACCUUACACGAACGCUCUUAUCAAUGGCAAAUCAAAGUCAUUUUCAAAUAGCAGCACUGAGAACCAGAAAACUGUUCCUCUGGAAUUGUUUACCGUAAAAACAAACAGUAGCAACCGGUUUCGGAUCAUUAACACCGGCAUAACGGGAGAAUACAAAAUCUCUUUUGAUGAGCAUAGAAUGCUGAUUAUUGCUACGGAUGGCUUUGAUAUAUCUCCCGUUUGGAUCGACUAUCUUUUCAUUAACCCCGGUGAAACAUAUGAUGUCAUUGUAAUCGCGAACAACACCCCUGGGAAUUUCUGGAUCCGUGUAGAGUCCGACGAAGUCCUGGAUGCCCAGAAGAAUCGUAUUAAGCCAAAUGCGAGUUUUGCGCAGCUCCAUUAUCAGGAGGCAAAAAGUGAUUUUCCAGAAUCUAAGAACAGAGAAUGCAGUAGCUCAGAUCCUUGUGUUAUGGCCAAUUGUCAUUGGGGUUCCAAAACGAUGUCAAAAUGGAAUCCACAUGCACAGUGUAUGUCGGUAGCAGAUCUAGAGGCGCCUUCACAUACAAAUGUUGAAUCACCUAAAGCCUUCCAAGAAUCAGCGAACGAAUUCCAGGAAUUCUUUUUAAAUUUUCACUUUAGCGGUAGCGAUCAGAGACUAGAACGUGCAUCGGUGAAUACCAUUCAUUUCAAAAAUCCUCCUGAAGCUUUACAGGUUAACCCUGAAACAGUCGAUGACCAGAAUGUUGUCUGCAACAAUACCAACAUGGAUCAAUGUGGAGAAUACUGUCAGUGCACUCACGUGAUUAAGGUGGCAACUAAGAAGGUCACACAUAUUGUCCUUUUGGCUGAUGACGGUCUUACGAAAGGGACUUCGCAUCCGGUUCAUCUCCAUGGUAACCGUUUUUAUGUCCUGAAGUACAGUACCGGUGAGAUUAACGAAACCACGGGAUUUACAGAAGGUCAAAACCCAGACAUCCAGUACUCCCCUGACUUUAGGUCCGCACAAUGGCGUAAUUCUAGUUGGAAAUAUGGAAACGUUCCUGGUAUCAAUAUUGAGAAUCCGCCUCAGAAGGACACUGUCAUGGUCCCUUUUAAAGGAUAUGUUGUUAUACGACUUUUAGCAGACAGCCCAGGAUUCUGGCUGAUGCAUUGUCAUCUUGAGACUCACAUGGACAUCGGUAUGGCAGUUGUUUUACAAGUGGGAGAGAUCUCCGAACAGCCAAUAAUUCCCAAAGACUUUCCCAAAUGCUCAAACUUCAAAGGAACAAAAUCUCCAGAUAAAUCAUCACCUGCACAAAAAUAUCAGAACUUUGUUCAAUUGUCAAAUGUUAAGGCAACCACACAGGUAUCAAAGGCUGGUGGAUCUGACUCGUAUGAAAUGUCGCCGUCAUCUUACGUUACAAUGAUUGUCUUUUUAGUGGCAUUUUUCUGUGGAAUUGUUGUAUUCUCCUCAAUUUUAGUAUUUAAGCAGUAUGUUAGGCGCAGAGGGUACCGAAAAAUUGACAGAAAAGAUAAAGUUUUAUUUGGUAACAAACAUUAGUAAUUAUUUAAAGUGUGUGAUAUUUUAGAUACGUAUGUGAACUUGAAACCGGUGCUAUACAUUUAUGAUAAGCUGAAUAUACAUAUACUUGAACAAUCAAAUUUCCUACUAAGUGAAUCAAUAUUCCAUGAAAGUGUAUAUGUGUUUUCACACUUUUUUGCUAUUUCUAUGACUACUUACUAAGGUCAAAUUGUGUUUAUUUCUUUUUUUUAUUCUUUUAAUUUGUUUUCUUGUUUUUUUUCUUUAAUAAAACUUUGUAUGACAUACUGCAAAAAUAAAACUUGAAUUGUU